GCUUUCGUGGCCCAACCGGUAGAGGCGACAAUCCAAGGAACUGUCCGGUCCGGGUUCGAAUCCCGGCGAAAGCAC
rnacentral:tRNA from 1 species